rnacentral:lncRNA from 1 species
GGCCAGGCAUCAAACCUGAAUUCUUUUGGGUAGUAGUCAGGUUUGUUACCCCUGAGCUAUGACAGGAACUCGAAUAGGAUAUCUUUUUUGAUGGUUUCCAGUCUAUUUUGUUGAAGGUUGUUCAGCAGUUGGUUGUAAUUUUGUUGCUUUUAUGAGAGAAGGUAACCUUCAGUCCUUCUACUGCACCAUCUUAAUCCCACCUCCUGUGUGUUAUAUUUUAGAUUCCACAUAUAAGUGAUACCAUAAGAUAUUUGACUUCACUUAGCAUGAUAAUCUCUAGCUCCAUCCAUAUUGCUUCAAAUGGCAUUAUUUCAUUCUUUUUUAUGGCUGAGUAGUAUUUCAUUGUGUAUAUGUACCACUUUAUCCAUCUGUUUUUCGGUGGACUUUUAGGUUGUUUCCAUGUCUUGGUUAUUGUGAUUAGUGCUGCUAUGAACACAGUGUUGCAUGUAUCUUUUUGAAUUACAGUUUUGUCUGAGUAUAUGCCCAGGAGUGGUAUUCCUGGAUCAUAUGACAACUCUUUUAGUUUUUUGAGGUACCUCCAUACUGUUCUCCAUCGUGGCUGCACCAACUUACAUUCCCACCAACAGUGUAGGAAGGUUCCCAUUUCUCCAUACCCUCUCCAGCAUUUGUUAUGUGUAGAAACUUUUUUGUCUUUUUCUAGGGCCACACCCAAGGCAGAUGCAGGUUCCCAGGCUAGAGGCUGAAUCAGCUAUAGCUGCUGGCCUACACCACAGCCACAGCAAUGCAGGAUCCAAGCCACAUCUGCAACCUACACCACAGCUUAUGGUAACGCUGGAUCCUUAACCCACUGAGUGAGGCCAGAGAUCAAACCCACAACCUCAUGGUUACUAGUGGGAUUGGAUUUGUUUCCUCUGUGCCACAAUGGGAACUCCAUGGAUAUUCUUUUUUGAUGCCACACCUAAAACUGGUAGUUUCUUAAAAGUAUUUGGCAGUUCCUGUUGUGGCACAGUGGAAACGAAUCUGACUAGUAUCCAUGAGGAUGUGGUUUUGAUCCCUGGCAUCACUCAGUGGGUUGGGGAUCUGGCUUUGCUGUGAGUUGUGUGUAGGUCACACAGGCAGUUUGGAUCCCAUGUUGCUAUGGUGCGGGCCGGCAGCUGAUGCUCUAAUUCGACCCCCUAGCCUGGGAAUUUCCAUCUGAUGUGAGUGCGGCCCUAAAAAAAACCAAAACAAAACGGUAUUUGAAGUGUGGAAUCUAAAAUCUAAAUGAUGUUAAAAUUUUUUCAAAUGUUAAUUACAUUUAAUUUAAAAUAUAUUAAUUUGUACAUUUUACAUUUGAGAGCAAUUUUAGGUUCACAGCAAAAUUAAGCAGAGAGGACACAGGCUUCCCAUACUCUCUCGGUCCUUACACAUACAUGCACAAUCUCCCUCACUAAUCAACGUCCCUCACCAGAAGAGUGCAUUUGUUACAACUAAUGAGCCUACACUGACACAUCAUUCUCUCUCGAAUAAUGAUAAUAGUUUAUGUUAGAGUUCACUCUUAGUGUAUAUUCCAUGGGUCUGGACAGAUGUAUGACGUAUCCAGCACUGUAACAUGCAGAUGUUUCACUUCCUUAAAAUCCCCUGUGCUCCAUCUAUUCAUCCCUCCCUCUCAGCUUAUCCCUGGCAACAACUAAUCUUUUUAAUGUUCAGUGAUCUUUUUGUUUCUCCUUAGAUAAGAUCCACUAGUGAAUCUUGCACUUUGAAUGGAUCUUUUACCCUCAUGUAAUCUUGUACCAUCAUGCACUGGUCAUUUGGAAAAUAUUUGUUUAUUGAGUUAUGUAGAUCUCCUAAAUGUUGACCCAUUUCAUUAUGCAUUAUUCAAAUCACAUUCGUUUUUCUCACCAAUACCACCAGUAUCAGAGCAAGGUUAAGUAUUGGGAAGUUCUCAAGCUCAGAGUGGUAUAUACAAAUUUUCUAAAAUUUUAAUUUUUGCUUACAAGCUUUAUUUAUUUUUGUCUUUUCUAGGGCUGCACUCACGGCAUAUGGAGGUUAAUGGGAGCUAGGAGUCUAAUCGGAGCUGUAGCUGCAAUGUGGGAUCCGAGUCGUGUCUGCGACCUAUCCCAUAGCUCACGGCGAUGCUGGAUCCUUAACCCACUGAGCGAGGCUAGGGAUCGAACCCACAACCUCUUGGUUUCUAGUUGGAUUCAUUUCCACUGUACCACAAUGGGAACUCCAAGCUUUAUUUUUAACAUUUAGCUAUAAGCACUAUAAAUUGUGUUCUCAGCCUCACUUCAGGAAAAUGACUGCCAGAUACACAUCUGUCAGUUUUGUUUUUCAGUCAUUUUUUUAAGUAACAGUGCUAUUCCAUGAAAAAAGUUCAGCUUGCCCUUCAACCACACCAGUGCUUUUCCUUGAGGCAUGUAUUAUACUUUCUAUGUAGUAUAAGUACUUUGUUUUCCUAUUUUUUUCAGUAUUAAAAUGCUGUUUACAGAAGAGUCAGAUUAACAAAAAUGAUUUUCCUGCUUCAUCGUAAGUAUUCUUACAUGCCGGUGGCAUUUUUACUGAGUAUGUGGCAGUAAUGGACAUAGCAGCUGCUACCUCGAUCAUGCUAAGGUCAACAGUUGAACCCAAAUUGUACCAUCAGUGGAAAUGGCAAAUCACAUCUUAGUAUUAAUUUUUUAAUUUCCAGAGCCCCCAAAGGAUCUCAGGAGCCCUAAAGAGAUCCAUGGGCCUCUAGUGUAUGGUAACCAUGAAGUCUUACUCUCUACAAACUGAAAUCUAAGAAAGAACUUAGGGAGAUCAUGUAGUCCCCUCUUGAGAUUUCCUCUGGUAUAGGAGCUCUCUUUGCUCCUGCUCCUUCCUUUGUGGUGCUUUUGCGGGAGAGAGGAACUUGGGUAUGUCUAGCAGCCCAUCUCCUCACUGAGGCACUUGAGUAUGCCUCAGUCUCCUCUUUCCUCUUUUUUUCUCUUGGGAGACAGCCAGACUUCCUGCAGAAUGUAUUUCUGGUCUUCUGUGAUUUUGGCAUCACAGGGGCCUGGUUUUGCUUUUCAGUAUUUUCGGUGACUGAGUAGUAAAGCUUCAUUUUAGAAUUCAGUAUUGGAAACUCUACACCUAAGUGUUGUCCUCAAAUCCUUUAUCAGUAGUAAGGGUGUCAUUUUAAUCUCUGUGUGAUCAUUUCUUUCAUCCUUUAUUGGUUCUGAACUCAGGUAAAAGAGGUGUUGUUUAUUGGGAUCCACAAACCCACAACAGAUUGUACUGCCUGGAUGGUCUGUUAGGGGAUAGAUUAACUUAGCAGAAACAGAAAGACCAUGAUAAUAAUUGAUGAUUAUGCCAGGUCCUGUUAUAUUGCUGAUGUAAUGGUUUCCAGACAGGUUUUAACCAGUGAAUCCUUGGCGCUUUUAAUCCUUAGCAGCUCUGGAGAUAAAAGGUAGUGGUUAAUUAUCUUGUGAUUAUAAGGGACUGUGUAUUGUGGUAUUGUGAAAAGGGCUCAGAAUUUCAAAUCCAUAGGCCUUGCCUCUAAGCUCAGUUCUCCCAUUUAAUGAAAGGCUUUUGGCAAGCCCUUUGUAACUCUUUGAUCCUCGGCUUUUCUUUGAGUCAAUUUCUGCCUUCCUUAUCCCUCAAAAGGUUAUAGUGAGGUCUAAUGGACUGAACGUAAGAACCUCUGUGGUUUUUUUUUUGUUCACAGUGUCAUUGUUCUCAUCUCCAAGUAGCAAGUAUCUUGUCUCAUGUGUGACCUGGAUAAACUGAGUCACAGCCUUGUGUUCACUCAGUGUUUUUAAUUUUGUUUUUUCAAGGUAGUAUAAAACUUGUGGAGUUCCUUUGUGGCACAGUGGGUUAAGGAUCCAGCAUUGUCCUGCAAUGGUUGAGUUGCUGCUCUAAUGCAGGUUCAGUCCCUGACCUGGGAGCUUUUACAUGCCUCAGGCGCAGCCUUAAAAAAAAAAGGGGUGAAACUUGAGUAUAUACUUGUAACAGAUCCACAGUACAUGAAGAAAAAUGUUUUAAGUCCUCCUUAAUUUCUCCCCACUCUACUUUCAAUGUCCCCCAGGGCUAAUUACCAUUAACUUUGUUAUGUUUUUAAUGUGUGUGGUUGUGUAUACGUACAUGUGCAUACAUAAUAUGAAUGUUCUUUUUCACUCAUAUGCCUUGAUGAUCUUACCUUUAUCAUAUCAGUAGGUAAAUACCUCCUUUUUUUAAAAAGGAAAAUAGAAAUCAUAAUCUUGGUUUCAAAGUUACAAGGAAACUAAAGAUUCUUCUCUGUCCUAAUUGGGUAUAUGUAGUCUCUACAUUAUUUCAGAUGAUUACAUGUUUCCGCCAGAAUUCACUGUGUCUUGAGGAAAUUUAUCCAUUUUGAAGCUAUUGUGAUUGCUAAAGGAAUUCACUGAACAGCAUAAUUUGGAAUAAUUGGGGUAUUAUUUGACAGAUGUCAAAGGUGAAAAAGCGUUUGGGCAGGUAUGGAGAUUGGUGAUAGGUUGGGUAUGUGCAAAGGCACAGGAGGUGCAAAAGAAUAAGAUAGAGGAGGAUACUGAGGGUCUGAGAUAGAUUUUCAUCAAAAGUAGGGGAGUUCCCUGGUGGCCUAGUGGUUAAGGACUUGGCAUUAUCAUUGUUAUGGCUUAGGUUACUGCUGUGGCUUGGGUUCAGUCCAUGGCCCAGGAACCUUCUGCAUGCCUCAGGCAAAGCUAGAAAAAAAAAAGUUGCUGUAAGGGAGGUUCAGAUAAAGUGCUAUGGGAAUUUUUAAAAAGAAUUUUAACUAAAUUAGUAAUCAGUUGGGUAUUGAUCAAAUAGGAUUUGAGUAUAUACAGAGUUGGACAAUGUAUUGGGAAGUAUUUUCUAGGCAGAGGGAAAAAUAUAAAGAAAAACAAAUGUAUGAAGUACUUGUUGGAAAAAGUGAAUGGGUCAAUGAAAGUAAAUAAUGGGAAACAAAGUUGGAAAGGUAAGACGGGAACCAGGUUUAAGAGGACUAGUUAAUGGACUUUGCUAUUCAGACCUAUUUUUUAAUUAAAAAUUUUUUUUUUUUUUUUUUUUUUUUUUUUUUGCUUUUUAGGGCCGCACCCCUGGCAUAUGGAAGCUCCUACGCUAGGGGUCAAAUCUGUAGCUGCCAGCCUACACCACAGCCACAGCAAUGUGGGAUCCGAGCCACAUCUGCGAACUACACCACAGCUGACGACAACGCUGGAUCCCAGACCCACUGAACAAGGCCAGGGAUCGAACCCACAUCCUCAUGGAUACUGGUUGGAUUUGUUUCCGCUGCACCACAUCGGGGAAAUCUUAGACCUCAUUUUAAAGGUAAAGAAAAGCUACUGGUUUUUUGUUUUUAAUUUUUUUAGAUUGAAGUAUAGUUAAUUUACAAUGUUGUGUUUCUGCAGUACAGCAAAGUGGUUCAGAUACACGCACACAUUCCUUUUAAAGUCACAUUCUUUCCCAUUGUGGUUUAUCACAGCACAUUGAAUAUAGCUCUCUGUAUGUACAAUAGCACCUUAUUGAUCAUCCCCUUCAUGUAAGUUAGCUUCCAACUGCUAACCCGAACUUUUCACUCCAUCCCUCCCCAACCUCCUCCCCCUGUAACAACCACAAAUUUGUUCUCUAUGUGAGUCUGAAAAAGCUAUUGUUUUUUAAGCAGAGGUAUUAUGAUUGUAGCUAUUAAAAGAAUAAUGUAGUGGUGGAAUUGAAUUUCUAUAUAAAAGGAGUUUGGGAAAGCUAGUUGGCUGGGCUUGAAGUUAAAUUCAUAAAGCACCAUAAAUAAUAUUUAAAAAAACAUCAUUUGUGCCAAAAAAGGAGAAGGGAGUGCAGAUUAUACAGAUGACUAAAGUCAAGAAAGAAUCAGAGUUCUCUUGCGGUGCAGUGGGUUAAGGAUUGGGCGUUGUCACUGCAGCAGCUUGGGUUACUGCUGUGGCAUGGGUUUGAACCCUAGCUCAGGAACUUUGAAGCUGUGGGUGAGGCCCCCACCCCCAAAAAAGCCAAAAGAAGAUUUUGUCCUCUUUAAUCAGACAGUCCCUAUACCCUCUUCCCUGUUGCCCCUAGAAAAUAAUUUACUUUUUGCCUAUGAGUUUAUCUAUUUUGAAUACUUCGUAUAAAUGGACUGCAACAUUAUGUAAUUUUUGUGUCUGGCUUCUUUCACCUUGGCAUGUUUUUGAGGUUCAUCACACUGGAGCAUGUAUCAGUAGCUUAUUCCUUUUUAUGGAUGAGUAAUAUUCCAUUAAAUGUACAUACCAUUUUAUUUAUCCACUUACCCAUCUGUGGACUUGGGUAGUUUUCUACAUUUUGGUUAUUGUGAUUAGUGCUGCUAUAAACAUUCCUCUACAUUUGUUUGAGUACCUGGUUUUCAGUUCUUUUGGGUACACACCUAGGCAUGGAUUUAAAAUUUACUUAGGAACUGCCAGACUGUUUUUAGCAGCAGCUGCACCAUUCAGUUUACAUUCUCAUCAGCAGUACACAAGGAAUCCCAUUUUUCCACAUUCCCUGCAAUACUUAGUACUUUUUUUUUCUUAUUUUUUACAGAUGUGCUAGUGGAUGUGAAAUUGUUUCUCAUUAUGGCUUUCAUUUGCAUUUCCCUAACUGCUAAUGACACUGAGCAUCUUGUGCUUUUUGGCCAUUUAUAUCUUUGGAGAAAUGUCUGUUCAAACUCUUUGUCCACUUUUCAAUUGGGUUUCUUGUCUUGAUGAGUUGGGGCAGUUCUUUAUAUAUGCUGUGUAUAUAUGAUCCUUUUUAGAAAUAUGAUUGCAGAUAUUUUCUUGCAUUCUACAGGUUAUCUUUUCACUUGUAUGUCAAUUAUAUCUUAACUUUUAUAUAAGCUAUAUGGCAGUAUUAAUAGUGAUUCUGGUUAUCAUGCUGUAUAUUACAUCCCCAGUAUAUAUUUAUAAUUUGACAUUUGUACAUUUUAAUCAAUUUUAUCCAAUUGACCCCUCUCCCUACACUCCACUUUUGGUAACCACAAGUCUUUUUCUGAGCUUGGGUUUUUGUUUUUUAGAUUCCACAUGUAAGUGAGAUUUACAUUAUUUUUCUUUCUCUGUCCUCUUAUUUCACUUGGCAUAAUGCCCUCAAAGUCCAUUUAUGCUGUUGCAAAUGGCAGGAUUUCCUUUUACAUGGCUGAAUAAUAUUCCUGUGCAUUUGCCUACACACCACAACCUCCUUAUCUAUCCACCCACUGAUGGUCACUUAGGCUGUUUCAAUGUCUUUAGCUACUGUAAAUAAUGCUAGUGAACAUGCGGGUGCAGAUAUCUCAUCAGCAUAGUGUUUUCCCCCCUUUGGACAAUUCCCAGAAGUGAAACUGCUAGAGCAUAUGGUAGUUCUACUUUUAAUUUUUGGAGGAACAUCCAUAAGGCUUUCCACAGUGGUUGUACCAGUUUACAAUCCCACCAACAGUGCACAAGGGUUCUUUUUUCUCCACAUCCUCAUCUAGCACCUGUUAUAGCUUUUUUUUUAAUGAUCGCCAUUCUAACAGAUGUGAGCUAAUAUUUCAUUGUAGUUUUGACUUGACUUUUCCUAGUAAUAAGUCAUGUUGAACAACUUUUCAUAUGUCUGCCAUUUGUAUAUCUUUGGGAAAAUAUCUAUAUUCUUUCCCUCAUAAAAAAAUUUUUGUCUUUCUCCUGACUUAUUUCACUUAGUAUGAAAAUCUCUAGUUGCAUCCAUGUUGCUGCAGAUGCCAUUAUUUCAUUCUUUUUGUGGCUUUAUAAUAUUCCAUUUUAUGUAUGUGUCACAUCUUCUGCAUCCAUUUAUCUGUUGAUGGACACUGAGGUUGUUUCCAUGUCUUGGCUAUUGUGAAUAGUGCUACUCUGAACAUACGGGUGCAUGUAUCUUUUUGAACUAUAGUUUUGUUUGGACAUAUACCUAGGAGUAGGACUGCUGGAUCAUGUGGUAUCACUUACAUGUGGAAUCUAAAAUAUAGCACAAAUGAACCUAUCUACAAAACAACAGACUCACGAACGUAGAGAACAGACUUGUGGCUGCCAAGGGGGAGGGGGGAGAGAGUGGGAUGUACUGGGAGUUUGGGGUUAGUAGAUGCAAACUACUAAGAAUGGAUAAGCAGAAGUUCCCAUUGUGGCUCAGUGGUUAACAAAACUGACAUCCAUGAGGAUGUGAGUUUGAUCCCUGGCCUUGCUCAGUGGAUUAAGGGUAUGGUGUUGCUGUGAGCUGUGGUAUAGGUUGCAGACAUGGCUCAGAUCCCUCAUUGCUGUGGCUAUGGUGUAGGCUGAUGGCUAUAGCUCCAGUUUGACCCGUAGCUUGUACAUGCUGCUGGGGCGGCCCUAAAAGACUAAAAACAAAACAAAACAAAAAAAAA